rnacentral:rRNA from 1 species
GAUGAACGCUGACAGAAUGCUUAACACAUGCAAGUCUUUGGCGAAGCUGUGCUUGCACAGCCUAGCCAAGGCGGACGGGUGAGUAACGCGUAAGGAACUUGCCCUGCAGUCAGGGAUAACAGACGGAAACGACUGAUAAGACCUGGUAAAGUCAGGCGGACUCAUGUCCAGCCUGAUGAAAAGAGAUGCUGCAGGAGAGCCUUGCGUCCUAUUAGCUUGUUGGUGGGGUAACGGCCCACCAAGGCGAUGAUAGGUAGCCGGCCUGAGAGGGUGGACGGCCACAAGGGGACUGAGAUACGGCACUUACUCCUACGGGAGGCAGGAGUGGGGAAUAUUGGACAAUGGGGGCAACCCUGAUCCAGCAAUUCUGUGUGCACGAUGAAGGUUUUCGGAUUGUAAAGUGCUUUCAGCAGGGAAGAAAAAAAUGACGGUACCUGCAGAAGAAGCGACGGCUAAAUACGUG